UCGGGAAUUUUGGGCAAUGGGCGAAAGCCUGACCCAGCAACGCCGCGUGAAGGAUGAAGUAUUUCGGUAUGUAAACUUCGAAAGAAUAGGAAGAAUAAAUGACGGUACUAUUUAUAAGGUCCGGCUAACUACGUGCCAGCAGCCGCGGUAAUACGUAGGGACCAAGCGUUGUUCGGAUUUACUGGGCGUAAAGGGCGCGUAGGCGGCAAUUCAAGUCAUCUGUGAAAUCUCCGGGCUUAACUCGGAACGGUCAGAUGAUACUGCUUUGCUAGAGUGCAGAAGGGGCAAUCGGAAUUCUUGGUGUAGCGGUGAAAUGCGUAGAUAUCAAGAGGAACACCUGAGGUGAAGACGGGUUGCUGGGCUGACACUGACGCUGCGGCGCGAAAGCCAGGGGAGCAAACGGGAUUAGAUACCCCUGUAGUCCCUGAGCGGGCUGGCAAGGCGCAU
rnacentral:rRNA from 1 species